rnacentral:pre_miRNA from 1 species
UACCUUCGAAUAUGUAUGGAGUUGGAACGUUUGUCUACGUCUGCCGCUAGAGGCGCUGUUCUAACUCCAUACAAACUUGAGUUA